CCUACGGGAGGCAGCAGUGGGGAAUCUUGCGCAAUGGGCGAAAGCCUGACGCAGCAACGCCGCGUGCGGGAUGAAGGCCUUAGGGUUGUAAACCGCUUUCAGCAGGGAAGAAAAUGACUGUACCUGCAGAAGAAGGUGCGGCCAACUACGUGCCAGCAGCCGCGGUGACACGUAGGCACCAAGCGUUGUCCGGAUUUAUUGGGCGUAAAGAGCUCGUAGGCGGUUCAGUUAGUUGGGUGUGAAAACUCCGGGCUUAACCCGGAGCCGCCACCCAAUACUGCUGUGACUAGAGUUCGGUAGGGGAGCGGGGAAUUCCUAGUGUAGCGGUGAAAUGCGCAGAUAUUAGGAGGAACACCGGUGGCGAAGGCGCCGCUCUGGGCCGAAACUGACGCUGAGGAGCGAAAGCAUGGGUAGCAAACAGGAUUAGAUACCCUGGUAGUCCAUGCCGUAAACGUUGGGCACUAGGUGUGGGUCGUCAUCACGAACGUACCGCGCCGUCGCUACGCAUAGUGCCCGCCGUCGGGAGGUACGGUCGCGAGACGUAAACGUUAAACGGUAAAGUUAGACGGCGUGGUACGUGCCGACGGCGACGACGAGGGGAGGUUAGG
rnacentral:rRNA from 1 species